UAGUUGUUAAAACUGUAAGAAAUAAAAGCUAUUGGUUAAAGUUUACCAAACAGUAUUUUGGUCUUACCUGGAAAAACAAAUGUAUCAACAAUGAAACACUACAUGAUGCUGAGGAAUCUGUUAAUGAUAAGACUGGUUUAGUAUCACUUACAGAAGACAACCAUAGAGAUAUGAUAAAGGUUUUAGAGUCAAUCACUGAAGAUGUAAAUAUACCUGAAAAAAUGUUGGUUUUACUCAGUUCCCAGCUAGUGUCCAUGAAACAGAGCCAUUCUAAAUGUAAAUGGGAUCCACAGAUUAUCCGAAUGUGCCUCUCUAUCUACUGUAGAUCACCUAGGGCUUAUCAAGAUUUGGCAAAUAGUGGAUUUCUUGUCCUUCCAUCUAAAAGACAAAUACAAGGGUACAAAAAUAAAAUAGACCAACAAACAGGUAUUUCUAAAUCUAACUUAAAAUGGAUGCUGUCUGAAAUUAAACUGAGAAAAUUACCAGAAGAUGGGUAUGAGGGUGGACUUCUUAUGGAUGAGAUGGCCAUUCAAGAAGAUAUACAGCUUAAAAAGAUUGGUGAUGAGUUUGAAAUAGUUGGGUUUGUGGAAUGUUGUGAUGAGACAUUAUACAUGGACAGGCUUAUGGGAAAAACUGACCUUAAGAUGGCUACUCAUGUUUUGCAAAUUUUAUUUCUUGGGAAUACAGGUUUUCGUUUUCCGGUAGGGCAUUUUGCUACUUUACAAGCAUGUCCUGCAGAAAUGUACUUGGUAUUUUGGGAAGCAGUCAAGAUGUUAGGAACUUUUGGUUUCACUGUAACAUAUAUAAGCCUGGAUGGUGCCCAAAAUAAUAGACUUUUUAUGAAAAUGUUGCUGCCUGAAAAUGAAGUUACCUGUAAAACAAUGAAUACAAUGAAAACCAAAAACAUUUUUGACCCUACAAAACCAGACAUCUGUAUUAUUAUGGAUUACUCCCAUUUAAAGAAAAAGAUCAGGAAUAAUAUAUCUAAAAGUGGGAAAACAGACAAAAAUACAAAACAUCUAAUUUAUAAAGGAAAAGAUAUUGUCUGGGAACAUUGGUAUAAAGCUUAUCAAUGGGACACUAAUACUAAUCCACUUAAAGUUUACCACAAACUAACAAAUGAUCACUUCUUUUUAAAUCCACAGCUUAAAAUGAGAAACGCCUUAGAUGAAGAUGUUUUGAAAAGCAAUAUGUUACACCUAAUGAAAAGAUAUCAAGAAUCCCUUUUUGAACAUGAACAAGAUUCCUUAACCAGUAGCAUUAAACUGUUACAAAUGACAUCAAUAUUAGUUAGAAAUUUUCGAGAUCAAAGGCCAAUUCAUGAAUUGGAUGACUCAAGACUUGCUGAAAAUAAAAAUGCGUUGUCCUGGUUCCGCAACUGGGAGGCUGAGGAAUGUCUCUGUGAAAAAAAUCUCAUUUCACAUCAGACAAGAGAGGACAUUGUAUCUCUGUUACUUGGUUUUAGUGAAUUGUGUAAGGACAAAUUUACUAGGUCUGCAGGGUCAAUUGUUGCCAGUCGAGUAAAUAGUGAUCCCAUUGAAAAUAUUUUCUCCCAGCAAAGGGGUUUGCAUGAUGGUGCAAAUACCAAUCCAAACUUACUUACCUACAAUCGUACACAGAACAAUAUUAUUCUUGGUCAAACUACAAUAUCCAGAAAAAGUAAUACUGGUGGAACCGGUGCUCAAGUGUACAAUGACCAGAGACAACCCCUUAAGUCUAUACUUAAUACCAUGACGGUUGGCAAUGUGAAAAAGUAUUGAUUGGUCAGAUGAUUUACAUAGAGGUGCUGAAGAUGGGACAGAUGGAUUUGCUGCUUCAGGAGAACUAGAUUCUUGCAAGGGAGAGUCGGGCCUUGCCACUUCCACAGUUUCCAAUAUGCUGGCUUCUGUUAUGAAAGUUCCAGGUUGUGGUUCAGACUCUGAUUGUGUGGGGCCAGUCACUGCUGCUGGUGAUACAGUCUCUGGAUUGCUCAUCAUCAAACUUUCUUCAUUCAAUAGGAAUAAACAGACAACCCUUCAUGGAAUUACACAGUCUAUAUCUACAUUUGGCAAUACAAUAUCCACCGACAUAUCUAAUCUUUCCUUUACCAGCUUGUGAUAUCUGAGAACUGACAGCUGGUAACACCAAAUGUGCACUAUGUUCAGGUUGCACAGAUUCAGCUUUGGUCAACAGUAAAUUAGAUUGUAUAACAAACAUUACAGAUGAAAGUAGCUGGCAUGCAAAAUGGAGUUUCAGUAGUGUUUGUGAUUCAUUUAUAUAGUCAUCUGAUGUGAGAUAUCUAUUAAAAGAGGUAUAAAAAUC